rnacentral:rRNA from 1 species
GGGCCCGCACAAGCGGUGGAGCAUGUGGUUUAAUUCGAUAAUACGCGAGGAACCUUACCUAGGCUAGAAUGCGAGUGACAUCCAGAGAGAUCUGGAGUUCUUCGGACACAAAGCAAGGUGCUGCAUGGUUGUCGUCAGCUCGUGCCGUGAGGUGUUGGGUUAAGUCCCGCAACGAGCGCAACCCCUGUUUUAGUUGCCAGCAAGUAAUGUUGGGACUCUAGAAAGACUGCCUGCGUAAAGCAGAGAGGAAGGAGGGGACGACGUCAAAUCAGCAUGGCCCUUAUGCCUAGGGCUACACACGUGCUACAAUGGCGUAUACAAAGGGUAGCGAACCAGUGAUGGUAAGCC